CAGUACCAGGUGCAUGUGCAACACAGAGAGAGAAAUUCUUAGGAACAGGAGCUUUAAAAUCAGUCCUACCAGGAAAUUAGGACAAAGGGAGAUUCUUCACCUUCCCUCAUUAUUUUUCAGAGAGAAGAAAGAAGUUGCAAAGCAGGAAGAGAAAAGGAGUGGUUGAGAGUGGUAAAACUCAGGCACAGGGUGCCCAGAGCAGCUGUGGCUGCCCCUGGAUCCCUGGAAGUGCCCAAGGCCAGGCUGGACGGGUCUUGGAGCACCCUGGGACAGUGGAAGUGUCCCUGCCAUGGCAGGGGGUGGAAUGAGCUGGUCCAGUGGGAGCUGGAGAAGUUCUCCAAUGGUGUGAUCCUCAAACACACCUCCCUGAUGGAGCCUUUAUGGACAGCUGCUCUCAGGGAUGGGGUUGAACAUCAAUGGAAUCCAGUGGAAGCUGUUCCCAGGGGGUAAAAAGGAUCCCUGCUCCCAAGCUGGACUCCUCCCUGGCCUGGAGGAGCUCCUCUUGUGCAGGCAGCUCCUGCCCUGCCUCUGCCUGUCUCUGCUUUCCAUCAGAGAUUCCUCACGUGCCGCAGCUGAACUGCCUGGUAGGCUCCCAUGAAUAAAACCUUGAU